rnacentral:tRNA from 1 species
UUGAGGACUUGGGUUGGACAAAGUCAGUUCUAGCACUCACAAGAAGUUCAGGGAGGUCUGGCUGCUUGCUCAACUGCGCUCUGGGGCCAAGGCCAGGGCGCAUCCAGAUGGAGCCCUGAACAAGCUCUCUGUGUUCUUCCCGCCCAGCCUGUCCCUCCCACCUCUGCCGGGAGAGCUUCUGUGAAAAGUUCUACCACGGUCUGCCUGCCGGGCAGAGGUGGAAGCUGCGAGGCUGCCGUUGGGCCCUAGUGAGGUGCUCAGAGCAGGGCCAGGCCCUGGGCUGGAAGCUUUAAGGCGAAGAACUUCAUUUGUGCUUGAGGGACCAGCACUGGAAACAGGAAUUAGGGAGAAGAUUGCCUUUCUCUUCCUCUCUUAUUCUGACAUUAAUUGGAUUUUCCCCUCCUAUGGCCUCAAUUUAAACCAGUGGGAGGAACCCAGAUAUUCUUAGCCACUGUGGGCAGCAACUGGUGUCCAAAGGACUUCCUGACAAGCUGGGUCAUGGUACUUGUGUGAAAGUGAGCCUGCGUGGGGGCUGGAAUGACUGGAACUGUUACCUGAGGCUUCAGAUCUCUGCCCCUCAGUCACCAACUCUUUGUCUCCAGUCAGGCCCUUGCGCUCUCCCAAGUGGGCUUAGGGAUGCUUGUCGCUCACCUACGUCACCAGGGUAUCACAUGAAGCCCACAGUAUGCAUGGAGCUUCUGGGCAGUUGAAGAAAAAGCAUGAGGAUUCUUCAAGGAUCUGGAGAGCAAUAAGCCACCUAUUGAAUGCUGCCAAAAGGCCCAUGGGCAGGAAACCGGUUUGGAUCUGGGCAGCGGCUGCUGGAGUUCUGUGUCCUCUUCAACACUCCCUGCUUUCCAGAGCUGAACUUCUUGGCGCGUCAGAAGUCAGGCGUGGCCGUCUUCAGAAUACAAGGAGGCGUGGAGAGAUGCCUGGCUGGCUCAGGAGGUAGAGCAUGUGACUCUUGAUCUCAGAGUUGUGACUUCAAGUCCCAUGUCAGGUAGAAAGAUUACUUAAAAAUAAGAUCUUGAAAAAGAAAUGGCAGAGCAUACUGAGGGAGAGGAAGGCCUCUGUGGGCAAACCCAAGUGUAAAAUAAACACCCCCCCCUCAUGAAAAGUUAGCCCCUG